AACCCAUGGUGAGGGCAUCUUCUCAGUAAGUCCUUCUAUCUCUCCCAUGCAUGAUAAAGUGUUUCUAAAUCCAUUUGUACAAAAGAAGAGAUAUCAUUAUGCAAUU
rnacentral:snoRNA from 1 species